GCGACCCUCAUGCUGGCCACUGUGAAUGUUUUAACAGGCUAGCAACUUACAUGCCUUAUCUCAAGGCGGGUAAUCAGAACUUCCGGCUUUCCUACUCCUCCCUGUUGAUUAGAUUCAGUGAUGCUAACUCUUUGGAUGAAAUAACCGAACCGGCUUCACCCACACCUGAAGAAAGUUUCAAGUUACGUAAUCACACGAGAUGCUUGGUCCUGCCAACUCACACUCAACUCCCAAGUAUUCUUCCUAUAAUCUGUUCAUCUAUAUAGCAAGAUAAAAUUUUAAUAUUCAUUAUCCACACAUUGUUUGUGAGCUAACUGCGGUUAAAACUACUGUGAGUGACUCACCCCAUGACAAGAACCGGGUGAUGGCAACCAUUAAAAUGGAUAAGUAUUUUACUAUUUCAGAUUAAGCCCUUCAACUUUGCAUAUCUGAUUUCUUACUUUUUUUUGUAAUAGUAUAUAUUAAGCACUUUGAUAUCUGUUUUCCAGUAUCAGUGAUGUUUCCGUGACGUUGAGUUUAUUCGACUCACAAUCUAUUAAGUUUCACCAAGCUUGAGGCCGACGUGGUGAUCCACGAGCGGUUGUUGCAACCAGCAUUCAUCCAAAAAUUGUCGUUUGUUUCUCAAUGCCACAUCAUGGACACACAUCUAUUUCAACAAGGAGACUAAUGUUGGGGAAAGAUAUUUAUACAAGCUGUUCUAUAGCGACACUGGGCAUGCAACAGCAGCUCCACUGCUGAGGGGCUAUGCCAAGGUCGAGCCUCUGACUAUAGCUGAGCUCAAUGAAUUCAGUGACAAGAAUGAAGAAGAGCUCAGGAUAUUUAUUUUAUCUGUAUCGGCAUGAUCACCGGCAUCAAGAUAGACAAAGGGUUGUGCUACGUUUCUUGCUCCAACUGUACCAGGAAGCUUCAACGCACUGUCUCAGCCUUUACAUGUGUUCACUGCAACAAUACUAAUGCUGUUGGUGUCCUUCGCUACGGUGUGGAGAUGGUCAUAGCUGAUGAUACUGCUGUAGAGUCUAUUUGUGUGUUUUGACGGGGUAAUGACGAAACUGCAUAACAUGAAAGUCUAUGAAGAUGAUAUGUCUGGUGCCAACUCAGUACCUGCUAAGGCAGCACCAAAUACAGGAGCAGGUCCAAGUGGUGUCAACACAACUAAGUCUCCAGCAAGGAUGUUCUAAGAUGGUCAAGAAAGCACUCAAGUCAUAGAUAAAAAUAAUGAUAGAUUUGGCAUCAGUAUUUCCUCUUUGAAUAAUGCUUAGGUUUUUUUUCCUUUGUUUUUGAACAAGUUCAUUUAUGUUUCCCUCCUCUUUUGGGUAAUCUAUGUUUGGUUCAGACUCUCUUUAUAAAAUAUGUCUCAGUUUCCAAAAUUGAUGUAUAUGUAACUCACUAUAUAUUAAGACGGACGACAAUUGGUCCCAGCUUAUUGUCUGUAGGAAACAAGUGUUUCACCA